rnacentral:rRNA from 1 species
AGUCAUUUAGGCUGUGGUUUAGAUGAUGAAAGGUGGCCUCUCCGAGGAAGCUACCGUUUGGGGAUGAGCCCGCGUACCAUUAGCUUGUUGGUGGGGUAACGGCCUACCAAGGCGACGAUGGUUAGCUGGUCUGAGAGGAUGAUCAGCCACACUGGAACUGACACACGGUCCAGACUCCUACGGGAGGCAGCAGUGAGGAAUUUUGCGCAAUGGGGGGAACCCUGACGCAGCAACGCCGCGUGAGUGAAGAAGGCCUUCGGGUCGUAAAGCUCUGUCGAGUGGGAAGAACCUUCGUAUGUUGAAUAUGCAUACGGACUGACGGUACCACAGAAGGAAGCACCGGCUAACUCCGUGCCAGCAGCCGCGGUAAUACGGAGGGUGCAAGCGUUAUUCGGAAUUAUUGG